rnacentral:rRNA from 1 species
AGAGUUUGAUCCUGGCUCAGGACGAACGCUGGCGGCGUGCUUAACACAUGCAAGUCGAACGGUGAAGCCUUUCGGGGUGGAUCAGUGGCGAACGGGUGAGUAACACGUGGGCAAUCUGCCUGCACUCUGGGACAAGCCCUGGAAACGGGGUCUAAUACCGGAUAUGACCUGCUCCGGCAUCGGGGUGGGUGGAAAGCUCC